GACGAACGCUGGCGGCGUGCUUAACACAUGCAAGUCGAACGGAAAGGCCCUGCUUUUGUGGGGUGCUCGAGUGGCGAACGGGUAAGUCACACGUGAGUAACCUGCCCUUGACUUUAGGAUAACUUCAGUAAACUUGAUCUCAUACCGGAUAUACGCUCCUGCGUCAUGGUCGUGGUUGGAAAGUGUCGGCGGUUGGGGAUGUGUUCGCGUCUUAUCAGCUUGUUGGUGGGGUAGUGGCUUACCAAGGCUUUGACGGGUAGCCGGCCUGAGAGGGUGACCGGCCACAUUGGGACUGAGGUACGGCCCAGACUCCUACGGGAGGCAGCAGUGGGGAAUAUUGCACAAUGGGCGGAAGCCUGAUGCAGCAACGCCGCGUGCGGGAUGACGGCCUUCGGGUUGUAAACCGCUUUCGCAUGUGACGAAGCGUGAGUGACGGUAAUGGGUAAAGAAGCACCGGCUAACUACGUG
rnacentral:rRNA from 1 species